rnacentral:rRNA from 1 species
UACAGAGGUCUCAAGCGUUGUUCGGAUUCAUUGGGCGUAAAGCGCGUGUAGGCUGUCUCGCAAGUCGGGUGUGAAAGCCCUGGGCUCAACCUAGGAAGUGCACUCGAAACUGCGAGACUUGAGUCCUGGAGAGGAAGGCGGAAUUCUCGGUGUAGAGGUGAAAUUCGUAGAUAUCGAGAGGAACACCGGUGGCGAAGGCGGCUCACUGGCUCGUAACUGACGCUCAUGCACGACAGCGUGGGGAUCAAACAGG